GGGUUGUGAGGUUAAGCGACUAAGCGUACACGGUGGAUGCCCUGGCAGUCAGAGGCGAUGAAGGACGUGCUAAUCUGCGAUAAGCGUCGGUAAGGUGAUAUGAACCGUUAUAACCGGCGAUUUCCGAAUGGGGAAACCCAGUGUGUUUCGACACACUAUCAUUAACUGAAUCCAUAGGUUAAUGAGGCGAACCGGGGGAACUGAAACAUCUAAGUACCCCGAGGAAAAGAAAUCAACCGAGAUUCCCCCAGUAGCGGCGAGCGAACGGGGAGCAGCCCAGAGCCUGAAUCAGUGUGUGUGUUAGUGGAAGCGUCUGGAAAGGCGCGCGAUACAGGGUGACAGCCCCGUACACAAAAAUGCACAUGCUGUGAGCUCGAUGAGUAGGGCGGGACACGUGGUAUCCUGUCUGAAUAUGGGGGGACCAUCCUCCAAGGCUAAAUACUCCUGACUGACCGAUAGUGAACCAGUACCGUGAGGGAAAGGCGAAAAGAACCCCGGCGAGGGGAGUGAAAAAGAACCUGAAACCGUGUACGUACAAGCAGUGGGAGCACGCUUCGGCGUGUGACUGCGUACCUUUUGUAUAAUGGGUCAGCGACUUAUAUUCUGUAGCAAGGUUAACCGAAUAGGGGAGCCGAAGGGAAACCGAGUCUUAACUGGGCGUUAAGUUGCAGGGUAUAGACCCGAAACCCGGUGAUCUAGCCAUGGGCAGGUUGAAGGUUGGGUAACACUAACUGGAGGACCGAACCGACUAAUGUUGAAAAAUUAGCGGAUGACUUGUGGCUGGGGGUGAAAGGCCAAUCAAACCGGGAGAUAGCUGGUUCUCCCCGAAAGCUAUUUAGGUAGCGCCUCGUGAAUUCAUCUCCGGGGGUAGAGCACUGUUUCGGCAAGGGGGUCAUCCCGACUUACCAACCCGAUGCAAACUGCGAAUACCGGAGAAUGUUAUCACGGGAGACACACGGCGGGUGCUAACGUCCGUCGUGAAGAGGGAAACAACCCAGACCGCCAGCUAAGGUCCCAAAGUCAUGGUUAAGUGGGAAACGAUGUGGGAAGGCCCAGACAGCCAGGAUGUUGGCUUAGAAGCAGCCAUCAUUUAAAGAAAGCGUAAUAGCUCACUGGUCGAGUCGGCCUGCGCGGAAGAUGUAACGGGGCUAAACCAUGCACCGAAGCUGCGGCAGCGACGCUUAUGCGUUGUUGGGUAGGGGAGCGUUCUGUAAGCCUGUGAAGGUGUGCUGUGAGGCAUGCUGGAGGUAUCAGAAGUGCGAAUGCUGACAUAAGUAACGAUAAAGCGGGUGAAAAGCCCGCUCGCCGGAAGACCAAGGGUUCCUGUCCAACGUUAAUCGGGGCAGGGUGAGUCGACCCCUAAGGCGAGGCCGAAAGGCGUAGUCGAUGGGAAACAGGUUAAUAUUCCUGUACUUGGUGUUACUGCGAAGGGGGGACGGAGAAGGCUAUGUUGGCCGGGCGACGGUUGUCCCGGUUUAAGCGUGUAGGCUGGUUUUCCAGGCAAAUCCGGAAAAUCAAGGCUGAGGCGUGAUGACGAGGCACUACGGUGCUGAAGCAACAAAUGCCCUGCUUCCAGGAAAAGCCUCUAAGCAUCAGGUAACAUCAAAUCGUACCCCAAACCGACACAGGUGGUCAGGUAGAGAAUACCAAGGCGCUUGAGAGAACUCGGGUGAAGGAACUAGGCAAAAUGGUGCCGUAACUUCGGGAGAA
rnacentral:rRNA from 1 species